rnacentral:tRNA from 1 species
AAGGCUUUAAGUUAAUUAAACUAAUAACCUUCAAAGCUAUAAAUAAAGAAUGUCUUUAAGCCUUA